UACGUAGUGUGCGAGCGUUAAUCGGAAUUACUGGGCGUAAAGGGUGCGUAGGGGGUUUGUCGCGUUGUUCGUGAAAACUCACAGCUCAACUGUGGGCGUGCGGGCGAUACGGGCAGACUGGAGUACUGCAGGGGAGACUGGAAUUCCUGGUGUAGCGGUGAAAUGCGCAGAUAUCAGGAGGAACACCGGUGGCGAAGGCGGGUCUCUGGGCCGAUACUGACGCUGAGGAGCGAAAGCGUGGGGAGCGAACAGG
rnacentral:rRNA from 1 species